CAAAAAAGUUUGCCUUAUUACCAGUGAUUUUGUUUUGGCUAAGUUUUUGUUAGAGUCCUAUAACUUGCCUAACUUUUUGAAAAUCAGAGUGUUUCUACAACAAGACUUUAAUUUAUAUACAUUAUGAAGUUUAAGUUUUGGGUAGAGGACUAGUCUGGGUGACAUUAAAUGCUAGAAUGCCAGGUUCCCUUUGGGGAACAUAAAACUUUACUGACUUAUUUUCCCCAAACUCUAGUGGUGAAACUUUGAGUUGGUUAUGAAGCCUUUGCUCUUCAGUCUGAAAUUAUAACCCUGAAGGCCAAUCCUUGCAAUAUAUUCAGUGUAUGCUGUGGACACAGCCUAUUUUUCAGCACAGCUUGUUGGCUAGAACCAGUCAGUGGGACCUCACUGCACUUUCAGGGCCAGCCCCAGCUCUGCCUAUUCAUGUGACAGUUACUGAUCAUCGGGUCUGGCAGAAGCAAAGGGGGAGCUCCCAAACAGUCUGGCCUGUCUCAUACUGGACCUGUCAGCCUCCUCAGAAGCAGAGCAUAUGUUCAGAGUGGCCCCUUCUAACUCAGAUGCUCACAUGGAUAAGGAAGAAAAAAUAUCAACCAAAGAUGCCGAAAAAACACUUUACUUUAAUAAAGGCCUCAUAACUGAAGGAAUGCUAAUCACAUAUUCUUCCUAAAUUGAGUUUUGGGCUGAUUUCAAUAUGGAAAGCUCCAGCGAGAAAGGAUGAGUCCCAGAAAUUUGCAAAUACUUAAAAACAAGUACACACUGUUCUCCCAAUAAACUGAGAUUUCAGCCAUCUCAGUGUCUCUCCUCCACAUGAAAGCACUAAUUCCUAAGAAUUUUGUGAAGAAGGGGCACCUUGGUGGCACAGUUGGUGGAGUGUCUGACUCUUGAUUUCAGCUCAGGUCAUGAUCUCAGGGCUGUGAGAUCAAUGCCUCA